rnacentral:sRNA from 1 species
UGUUAUGAAUGCACUCGGGUGACGCGG